rnacentral:rRNA from 1 species
UACAGAGGUGGCAAGCGUUGUUCGGAAUUACUGGGCGUAAAGCGUGCGCAGGCGGUUUUGUAAGCCAGAUGUGAAAUCCCCGGGCUCAACCUGGGAAUGGCAUUUGGGACUGCAAGGCUUGAGUGCGGCAGAGGAGACUGGAAUUCCUGGUGUAGCAGUGAAAUGCGUAGAUAUCAGGAGGAAUACCGAUGGCGAAAGCAGCUCUCUGGGACGGUACUGACGCUGAGGCGCGAAAGCGUGGGGAGCGAACAGG